GCUGCUUCCCGCGCAGUUCUUGGCUACGGUCUUCCCGCGUUCGCAGAGCUGCACCGCGGCGGCCCGGCCGGGCGGAGUUGCAGGGUCAUCAUUGUGCGGUGCGCAGGAUGGCCCAAGAGCAGGGAGAGCUUGCUUGGGUCUCACCUGGUACAUAUUAAGCUGCACGAUGCCGGGCAUUCUGGUCGCCAGGUGCUGUACGGUGCCUUAGAACUGGGUGUGGGCGCAACUGGCUAUAGGCACUGGUUAUGCUGGACGCUAGGUGAGCGACCUUCCGAAGCAAGAAGGAGGACCGAGCACUGGCCUCCAGGAGAGGGGACGGGAGCCAGACCCGAGAGCGCUCUCCAUUCCACGGAGCCCUCUAGCGCUAGGCGCGUGGAGCAGCAUUGGGAUCAGAGGACCUGGAAUGAUGGACGUAGUGAAGUGACAGCUCUGAGCUUUCCUGGAAAUGCCUGGUUCGUCAUUGAGUGACUCUCUGGCUUUGCUGUUUAAGCUGCAUCCCCGUGGAGGAAACAUGGGCACUCGUACACUUGUAAAAGGCCAUGGCAGCCUCCCCAGCUACCAUGAGCUUCUGCCUUAGACCGCGUUGAAAAGCCGUUGUAGACCUGACCGGUACUCCUGGCACCCCAGGACUCUCCAGCAUGGCCCUUCACACUGCUGGACUGCUGAGGCUAGUUGUCGGCUGUACCUCCUCUGUGGGACUUGUCUCUCCAGGCCACCGAACUGGCUGACUGACCACGCUGUAGCCAGCCCCUUCCAGGCUCUCUUCACCUGCCUUGUAUGCUGGUGAGGUGGAAGCCAUGUACCUCCCAGCCGUCCAAGGAAUCUGGUGAGAUGCCAGGGCCACAGCUGCCUACCCUGUGGGCACUUGCACAUCCAUUUGCCAUCUGUUGGGGGACUGAAACCUCAGAUGAGACUCCUUGUGGUGUCUGGCAAGGUUUGAAGUGGCCCCUCUGCAGAGGACCUGUGCUUUGCUCUCAGGGCACCAAGGGAAAGGCUGACUUGUGGUUCACUGUCCCCCACCAUGAGCUCCGCACUGGCUCCCCAGGCUGGGCCCCAUAACAGCAAGCCUUGGAAUUUGACUGUGUAUGUCGAAAAUCCUAAGAAUUUCUAGAUAAGUCCUCCAGAUUGAAGGUUUCAGGAAGGUGACCCUGACACCAACUCAUAGAAGGAAGGAACAGGCAAGACAUGGCCCCUCUGCAGCCCUCCGGGACUGCUUCAAGGCCCAUGCUCCUGGAACACCUGGGAUCAGAAUCUACCCACAGUUGAACAGGCUUCUCCACAGCAGCCAGGAGGGCAGUGUGCCUCAUCACAGACAGCUGGAUCCUACUCUGUUGGUCACAACAAAGUCUAUGACCAAGGGACCUUGUAGCCCAUCCAUGCAGUCUCAGAUGGAGAGAAACUUCACUUUCUACCUAUCACCCCCCCCAACUCGCAUUUCCUGAUUUCAUCCCCGGAGUUUAUCCAUCCCUGUGUCCACCAGAGCUGAGCUGGGCUUCACGCGGGGAGGGGCAGAGACGGAGGUGUAGAUGUGUGCAGCCCAUGCUGGGUUCUGAGAAACCAUAUUCUAAGUGUCCAGGCUCCAGCCACCCCCACCCCCACCUGGGCUCCCAGCUAUGUCAGGAAUCCAGCCCUUGUGCAGCCCACCAGCAUGGGGUGGCUGCCAUGGCAACGGGCAUGCAGGGUCAGGCGCAUCCCUUCAUUGUGAAUUCCCCAGCCAGCAAGCCAGGGCUGGACAGGGCUGCUCAAGUGUCCAAGAAGGUGGGUGGUCCUUGGCUACGGACUCUUCCCCCUACCUGAUCUGUGCUCACAAGUGCCCGCAGGGAAGAGCUUUAGCUGCACUGCUGCUGAAAAUGGAUUUUGGAGCUGCAAGCCCAUGUGAAUGCCACUACCUCCACACCAACUCAUCCCGCGAGAGCGCCAGACCAUGUAGGUCUCUGUUCUGGGAGGUCCCACUCAGUAACAUCGCACUAUUAGCCCACAAAAGUCACAGUGACCUUGAAGAAAUCCUGGCUACUUAAAAAUGAGCUCUCCCCAGGGACAGCACGUGAUUCACCCAGGGACAAAUCUCGCCUCUGUUUCUCUUUUAAAGAUAGUAUUUAGCAUUGGGCAAUGCGGGGGAUGCUUGGAACCAGUCCUGUUCACUCGGGAUUCCUGAGAUGGGAGCAAUUUACCUGUAACUUGAAGAUAAAAGCUGUGUAGAAGACACUGUGACCUGCCUAGAGGUGGCAGGCUCUUCUCUCCCUGCCUCACAGUUCUGGGCUCAGUGCUAGGGAACUGACUCCAGGCAAUUCAAUUCAAUUCUACUGCAUUGCCCAGCUCAGCAGAGUCCUGGGGACCAUCAGAAGGGUCAGGCUUUGCCUCACAGGCCUCCUGUACAGCACCUGGGGAUCCUGUGGCAGUGAGACUGGCAAUGUUGCUUUCCCACAAUGCUAUGCUCUCUCUCUCUCUCUCUCUCUCUCUCUCUCUCUCUGAAGUUUCCUUUAAGUAAAAUACAGUCAAGUCUCAAUGAUCACAGUAUAUUUGCAAAUUCACAUUCUGGAUAAAAUUUACUUGCAACUCCAAAAUCAAUCUCUGUAGCACUAUCAUGGUUUAUUCAUAGAUAAAGGUCACCGAGCAAUGAAGAAUGUGACCCCAUGUUCUAGGCUAAGGCCACAAGCAAUACUCUGCCUCCUUGUGUGUGUGAGAGAGUAUGUGGUGUACAAAUGUGUGUGUGUGUAUAAGUGUGUGGCUGUGUGUGGGAGAGGGUGGGAGUGUGUAAAUGUGGCUGUGUAUACACUCACCAUGACUGUCCCUCGGUGUCUCCCACAAUGGCUGUGCUAAAACUUCAGCCCUGGAGGUACAUUUGGGCACAUUAAGGCUCUUGCCUGACCAGAAGCUUCCACAAUGAAGAUCUUGCUCGUUCAUCAAACUCCAACUGAAUGUGAAAGGAAACGGAGACAGCAAACUCCUGGGCGUCCCUGACUCAUGUACAGCUAACAGAGAAGUUGGCUAGUGCCUGGCCAAGCCCUGGCCUCCUUCCCUUGCCUGUUUGGAGAUGAUCCCUGUCUGGAGAUAGUGAUGGGUAGCAGGACAUUGUGGCCACACUCCUUCUCCUAACUUGGAUAUUGGAUGUGGUCUAAGAUCCCUGGAAGAAGGAAGCCCAGAACCCCACCCCUGUUCAUGGAAUGCUGGCUGCUUGCACUGGAACCCCAUUGCUCUGAGAACAGCUCCCGGUCCCAGGCACAAUACUCUAAAAGGAGUGUUCCCCAGAACCCUUGUAUAGGGAUUUCCAGGCCAGAUAUCAGCGGCAGACCGUGCUCAGGAACAUCUGUCCAGUCCCCAAAGAUCUUGUGGCCCGAGGUCGUGUCUUUCUCCAGCUCUGAGGAAUUCAAAAGCUAUUUUGGACACUGGCUUUUCCAGGAUGGCCCAGCUAGACCAGAGGGACUGCUGAGAGGGUAGGGGUGGGGAGGCCAGGAGGCUAGACCCAUACUGGAGUGAGGGGAUGGA